rnacentral:rRNA from 1 species
GACCCGUUCGGCACCUUACGAAAAAUCAAAGUUUUUGGGUUCUNNNNGAANUUAAGCAUAUCAAUAAGCGGAGGAAAAGAAACCAACAGGGAUUGCUUCAGUAACGGCGAGUGAAGCGGCAACAGCUCAAAUUUGAAAUCUGGCCCUGGGCCCGAGUUGUAAUUUGCAGAGGGCAUUUCGGGGGCGGUCCGGCUUAAGUUCCUUGGAACAGGGCGUCACAGAGGGUGAGAAUCCCGUACGUGGCCGGUCACCAAUCCCAUGUGAAAUCCCUUCGACGAGUCGAGUUGUUUGGGAAUGCAGCUCAAAAUGGGUGGUAAAUUCCAUCUAAAGCUAAAUACCGGCCAGAGACCGAUAGCGCACAAGUAGAGUGAUCGAAAGAUGAAAAGCACUUUGAAAAGAGAGUCAAACAGUAUGUGAAAUUGUUGAAAGGGAAGCGCUGGCGACCAGACGUGCCCGGGGGCGAUCACCCUCCCUUCGGGGCGGCGCACUCGCCCCCGAUCAGGCCAGCAUCGGUUUCGACGGCCGGACAAAGGCGUCAGGGAAUGUGGCUCCCUUCGGGGAGUGUUAUAGCCCUGGCCGCAAUGCGGCCCGCCGGGACCGAGGACCGCGCUUUUGCUUAGGAUGCUGGCGUAAU